CUUACCAUGCAGUCGAACGAUGAAGCCGCUUCGGUGGUGGAUUAGUGGCGAACGGGUGAGUAACACGUGGGCAAUCUGCCCUUCACUCUGGGACAAGCCCUGGAAACGGGGUCUAAUACCGGAUAACACUCUGUCCCGCAUGGGACGGGGUUAAAAGCUCCGGCGGUGAAGGAUGAGCCCGCGGCCUAUCAGCUUGUUGGUGGGGUAAUGGCCUACCAAGGCGACGACGGGUAGCCGGCCUGAGAGGGCGACCGGCCACACUGGGACUGAGACACGGCCCAGACUCCUACGGGAGGCAGCAGUGGGGAAUAUUGCACAAUGGGCGAAAGCCUGAUGCAGCGACGCCGCGUGAGGGAUGACGGCCUUCGGGUUGUAAACCUCUUUCAGCAGGGAAGAAGCGAAAGUGACGGUACCUGCAGAAGAAGCGCCGGCUAACUACGUGCCAGCAGCCGCGGUAAUACGUAGGGCGCAAGCGUUGUCCGGAAUUAUUGGGCGUAAAGAGCUCGUAGGCGGCUUGUCACGUCGGAUGUGAAAGCCCGGGGCUUAACCCCGGGUCUGCAUUCGAUACGGGCUAGCUAGAGUGUGGUAGGGGAGAUCGGAAUUCCUGGUGUAGCGGUGAAAUGCGCAGAUAUCAGGAGGAACACCGGUGGCGAAGGCGGAUCUCUGGGCCAUUACUGACGCUGAGGAGCGAAAGCGUGGGGAGCGAACAGGAUUAGAUACCCUGGUAGUCCACGCCGUAAACGUUGGGAACUAGGUGUUGGCGACAUUCCACGUCGUCGGUGCCGCAGCUAACGCA
rnacentral:rRNA from 1 species